rnacentral:rRNA from 1 species
CAGUAGCCACGGGAAUACGAAGGGGGCUAGCGUUGUUCGGAAUUACUGGGCGUAAAGCGCACGUAGGCGGAUCGAUCAGUCAGGGGUGAAAUCCCAGGGCUCAACCCUGGAACUGCCUUUGAUACUGUCGAUCUGGAGUAUGGAAGAGGUGAGUGGAAUUCCGAGUGUAGAGGUGAAAUUCGUAGAUAUUCGGAGGAACACCAGUGGCGAAGGCGGCUCACUGGUCCGGUACUGACGCUGAGGUGCGAAAGCGUGGGGAGCAAACAGGAUUAGAUACCCGUGUAGUCCCUGUCUCUUAUAC